CGUCGACCGGCGCACGGGUGAGUAACGCGUAUCCAACCUGCCCAUCACUUGGGGAUAACCUUGCGAAAGUAAGACUAAUACCCAAUGACGUCUCUAGAAGACAUCUGAAGGAGAUUAAAGAUUUAUCGGUGAUGGAUGGGGAUGCGUCUGAUUAGCUUGUUGGCGGGGUAACGGCCCACCAAGGCGACGAUCAGUAGGGGUUCUGAGAGGAAGGUCCCCCACAUUGGAACUGAGACACGGUCCAAACUCCUACGGGAGGCAGCAGUGAGGAAUAUUGGUCAAUGGACGAGAGUCUGAACCAGCCAAGUAGCGUGCAGGAUGACGGCCCUAUGGGUUGUAAACUGCUUUUAUAAGGGAAUAAAGUGAGCCUCGUGAGGCUAUUUGCAUGUACCUUAUGAAUAAGGACCGGCUAAUUCCGUGCCAGCAGCCGCGGUAAUACGGAAGGUCCGGGCGUUAUCCGGAUUUAUUGGGUUUAAAGGGAGCGUAGGCCGGAGAUUAAGCGUGUUGUGAAAUGUAGACGCUCAACGUCUGCACUGCAGCGCGAACUGGUUUCCUUGAGUACGCACAAAGUGGGCGGAAUUCGUGGUGUAGCGGUGAAAUGCUUAGAUAUCACGAAGAACUCCGAUUGCGAAGGCAGCUCACUGGAGCGCAACUGACGCUGAAGCUCGAAAGUGCGGGUAUCGAACAGGA
rnacentral:rRNA from 1 species